CGGGGAUGACGUCAAAUCCAGCACGGCCCUUACGUCCAGGGCUACACACGUGCUACAAUGGCCGAUACAGAGGGCAGCUACCUGGUGACAGGAAUGCAAAUCUCCAAAGUCGGUCUCAGUUCGGAUCGGAGUCUGCAACCCGACUCCGUGAAGUUGGAUUCGCUAGUAAUCGCGCAUCAGCCAUGGCGCGGUGAAUACGUUCCCGGGCCUU
rnacentral:rRNA from 1 species